rnacentral:rRNA from 1 species
AGUGAACGCUGGCGGUAGGCCUAACACAUGCAAGUCGAACGGCAGCACAGUAAGAGCUUGCUCUUACGGGUGGCGAGUGGCGGACGGGUGAGGAAUACAUCGGAAUCUACUUUUUCGUGGGGGAUAACGUAGGGAAACUUACGCUAAUACCGCAUACGACCUACGGGUGAAAGCAUGGGAUCUUCGGACCUUGCGCGAUUGAAUGAGCCGAUGUCGGAUUAGCUAGUUGGCGGGGUAAAGGCCCACCAAGGCGACGAUCCGUAGCUGGUCUGAGAGGAUGAUCAGCCACACUGGAACUGAGACACGGUCCAGACUCCUACGGGAGGCAGCAGUGGGGAAUAUUGGACAAUGGGCGCAAGCCUGAUCCAGCCAUACCGCGUGGGUGAAGAAGGCCUUCGGGUUGUAAAGCCCUUUUGUUGGGAAAGAAAAGCAGCAGGUUAAUACCCCGCUGUUCUGACGUUACCCAAAGAAUAAGCACCGGCUAACUUCGUG